UACGUAGGGUGCAAGCGUUAAUCGGAAUUACUGGGCGUAAAGCGUGCGCAGGCGGUUCGCUGUGUCCGAUGUGAAAGCCCCGGGCUUAACCUGGGAAUGGCAUUGGAAACUGGCGGGCUUGAGUGCGGCAGAGGGGGGUGGAAUUCCGCGUGUAGCAGUGAAAUGCGUAGAGAUGCGGAGGAACACCGAUGGCGAAGGCAGCCCCCUGGGUCGACACUGACGCUCAGGCACGACAGCAUGGGGAGCGAACGGG
rnacentral:rRNA from 1 species